GGUGCGAACCCCUGGUUUGACAGCGCUGAAAUAAAGCACCGCAUAUAACUACGCCCGUGGUUAUGUGUCCUUGAUUGCUAACAUUUUGGGGACCCCAGAUGGGACCUCGUGGUCUGCUGAGGCGGUUCGUGUCCCAAUCCUGCUCUGGCUAGCACCGAGGUAUUCUUGGGGAGUGCAUCGGACGCGACCGACCCUCUGCUGCUCACGACAGACCUCUGACUGAUUGUUCGGUCUCCCUUUUAGGACGGGAUAUAUUGACCUAAUUGGAUGCCGUAAUAACAUUUGAGGAUGGAAACCUGGUAAUGAAAAUUCCAGAAUCUAAGGUAGGACAAAUUCUGUUAUUAAAAGAAAACCUGGUAGUGAAAAUACCGCAAGCAGUGAAGGAGGCUGUGAUUCCUAUGGUAUGGGAGACUGACAUACCUGGGAAAUCAAAACCAGCCCAGCCCGUAAAAGUGGAACUGAAGGAAGAUGCCAAGGCAGUACAGUUGAGGCAGUACCCACUGAAACUAGAAGCUAGGUUAGGAAUAGUACCUCUAAUUGAAAAAUUCUGGAAAUAUGGUAUUCUAGAGGAAUGUGAAUCAGAAUAUAAUACUCCAAUUUUUCCAGUAAAGAAACCUGAUGGUAGUUAUCGAUUAGUCCAAGAUUUGUGGGCUGUAAACCAGAUCACUAAGGACAUUUAUCCGGUAGUUGCAAAUCCAUAUACCUUGUUAACAUCUGUGAAAGAGAAAUAUAAAUGGUUUACCGUACUUGAUUUAAAAGAUGCCUUCUUCUGCAUACCCCUUGACCAUGAAAGCAAAAAGGUAUUUGCCUUUGAAUGGGAAAAUCCACACAAUAGGAGGAAAACUCAAUUAACCUGGACACACCUUCCACAAGGGUUCAAGAAUAGCCCAACCAUCUUUCUAGCCAAGGAACUAGCCAAGGAACUAGCCAAGGAACUCGAGGAAUGGACUACAAAAGGUCGUAUCAUGAUCCCUCAACAAUGGUGUUUGUUGCUACAAUAUGUAGAUGAUAUUCUGGUUGCGACUGAGACACGAGAACUCUGCAUGCAGGUAACAAUUGAAAUAUUGAACCAAUUGGGAAUGAAUGGGUAUAAAGUAUCGAAAAAUAAAGCUCAGAUUGCAUUCGAGACUGUGAUUUAUUUAGGAUGCGAGCUCUCUCAAGGACAGUGAAGGCUAUGCCUGAACAGGAUACAUGCUAUUUGUGCUAUUCCAGAACCACAAAACUUACAUGAGUUGAGAUCUUUUUUAGGAAUGACAGGAUGGUGCAGACUCUGGAUUAUGGACUAUGGGUUGAUCGCCAAACCUUUGUAUGAAGCACAAGGGAGUAAAACGUUCAGGUGGGGAAAGCCACAAUGUGAGGUCUUCCAAAAAGCUAAAACAGGCUUUUAUGCAGGCACCUGCUUUGGGCCUGCCGGACUUGAGCAAAGACUUCCAUUUGUUUGUACACGAGCGACAAAGACUUGCCUUGGGAGUAUUAACCCAACCACUAGGAUCCUGGAAAAGACCUGUUGGCUAUUUUUCCAAACAGCUGCAGAAACAAAGGACUCCGUGAAACACGUGUUAACUAGGAUGGACUGUUUCCAGACUCUUGAACUUUUAGAAAUGUAAACACUUCAAUAACACAAAAAAACAGAAGAAGGGGAGUGAAGGGGGCUAGGAUCAUCCAUAUAAAAAAAUAUUUCCUUUGGAAAAAGUUUUCCAAAUUUUGACAUUAAAAAACCUAAAGGUCCUCUGGACUAUUAAAACCAGAAUUACUGGGGCCUUUACAGGUGUAGCAAGUGACCUCUACUUCCUCUUACACGUCUUAUUAAAUACCUUGGUAGCUCAGGGAAAUCCUGGUGGCCAAGACCUUCAGUCACUUUUCUUAGCUGCAAGAACUUCAGGUAAACUCAGGAAUCCUGCAGCAGUCUGAAAAUAUCACAGCUACUGGGAGCUGAACUGGAUGUGGUUCAGUGAUCAUACCUCUGUCAAAAAUGUUAUUCAGGCUCUCAGGCUAGGUAAGGUUAUAGCUAUUCUUAACUUUACCUUUCCUGCCAUUGGCAUAACUCAGCUCAACCUCUGUUCUGUGCUUUAGUGCUGUAUCAGUGUUAGUGUCUCCUUUCCCUCCAUUUGUCCUCACAGAUGCUUGAGCAUUAGAGUGAGUGCUCUCCAGAUGAGUCUGGACUCUCUUUAUGCUCCUCCGCAAUUCAUUAAAAUCUAAGACCUCAGCAUGAGCCACACAGAACAUGAGGCACGUCUGCUGAAUAAUCAUGUUUUGAGCUCAACUAUGAGAACUUGCCUUGGGCAAUUGCAAAGCAUGACACUUGAUUAUGAUAAAUGGGAAUAGAACAAGUUGUCAAGAUGAUCCCAUUGCAGUUGAGAUACACAAGUACACUCACAGAUUUAUUAGUGUAGACAGUCAAUAGGAUGGCAGAGGAAAGAGUGCCAGAUACAGAACUGUUAUUUCAGCCUGGCUAUUCAGCCCACAUAA